CGAACCUACACCUUCUCAUGCAGUGGCUAAGAUGGUCUUAGCAAGCGUCACAAUGGUCUAGAGACUUUGUGGGACUCGAUGGCAGAGCGCUGGCCCAGCCUGCGGAGAGGCCCGAGAGUUCAAUUCCAGAACCACAACCAGGGCUUAUUUUCAUCUCAAGCUCCCUAGAGACGCUGAUGCUACUGGUCUUCGAAUACAUGCUGGAAACGACUGUUCUGUUGGGCUGACGUCCCCUGGGCUCCUACAUAUCGUACCUAGUAGCAGACAUGCAAGCCCCUUAAAGACACCAGAAGUGGAGUUCAGAAAAUCAUGGCACUGGAUAGAAAACGCGCCCAAUUUAGAGAAAGAAGUCGAUUUGUUCGCCUAUUUCAGGACUAUUUUGAAAUCCUACAAUAAUUACUCACAGAAUUGGCCCAAUUGCAUUGCCAUGUCAUGUGCGUGUACAAAAGGUAUCAAAGAACCCACUUUCAUGUGCGAUCACCAGGCACCAAUAAAAACAUGUCAAAAAAAGAAAAUGAAGGACCAAAACAUGCUCACACAGCUUGCAUUUAAAAAGAAAUAUGGAAAAUACGAUAAAACAGAGGCCUUGUAAUAAGGGAAAUGAGUGGCUUGGGAUCCUCCAGUCCAGGUCAAGCCUUCAGAUGACUACAGUCCAGCCAAUAUUCAGACUGCAACUCCAGGAGCUGGGGUGCAGCUCAGAGGUAGAGCACAUGCUUAGCAUGCAGGAAAAGCAGGACUUUAGCCCCAUGAGACCAGGACCCAGACCUGUCUAGCUCAGCUACUCCCAGAUCCCUGGCCUAAGGAAUUGUGUAAGAUAAUAAAAGUACAUUGUUAAAAACUUUAA